rnacentral:sRNA from 1 species
UUUAGUGAUCUUGAAAAGUUCUCUAUUUAUCCAUAGAAUAGGAACAGCACAGAAAGAGAUUUCAGACUUCUCCACACUACUCUGCCAAUGUACCUCACCUAUGACCUGCAGAUCACCUCUAGAGUAGAAAGGGUUAGUUGUCUCUGUAAUAAUUUAAUUCCUUGUCUUAC